CAUAUUACCGUUUGUUUUGUGUGUUCAAAAACUAGACUAUAUUUUUAGGGAUAAAAAACUUUAUUACUGAAACUAUUGGAAUAUAAACCUGUGUUCCCCUGUCCCCAGUUAUAUUCAGGUACGCCCCUUUCCCCAAUAAAAUUAAGAAAAUUACUUGUGUUUUUUCAGCCCCUCAGCACUGCUUACCUCUCUGCCUCUUGCAUUUUUCCUCAGAGGAGCAUUAACGGACUCUAGGCACCCAGACCACUUUAGCUUAAUGAAGUGAUCUG